UCCCUGAGGAAAAAUUUCAAGGAUUCCAAAAACUUUGUGAACUCUCACACAUUUAUAAAAACUACAUAAAAACCCAAAAAGUUAAAUUUGAGGGUGUUUUUAUUAUUUUCAUAAAUAGGUGAAUUUAAUAUUCAACUAUGAGAUUGAUCGUCCAUAUAACAGUUAGGUAACAGUCAGCUCCGUUUGCUUCAAACUCUCUUGCGCUUCAAUUUCGGUAACUGUCAAUAUCAAACUUGAAGUCAGCUUGACCGAUGGAGAAGAAGCAAAACAAUGUACUGGCCACGAACAAGCAUCAAAUCAGUGAAGAAGGGGCGUCGCACUUAGUGGGGAGUAUAAUCGAAAAGGGCAUCUCGGAUAAGCCUCAAAGCAAGUUUUUUUCACCCACUCCAACCCCUAAACCCACCGUUUUACCUUUUCCCGUCGCUCGCCACCGCUCUCACUGGCCGGUUACCUCUCUCUCUCUGUCUUCUUCGUUUCUAUUUAUAAGUGGUCUAGUUGAGGGCUUAGUUUUGUUUUGAAAAUUUGGGCAUGAAAUUACGUAGAGCAUUUUUUUUCUAGCCUUACGGCAGCUUUAAUUAGUUAUAUUUAGCUUUUUAUUUUUUUCAGAUUUUGUUGUGUUUGCAUGAAGUGCUUUGGGACAAAAUGGAAAAAAAAAAAAAAAAGAAGUAAGAAACUGGUAGUGGGUUUGGGGCGAUUUUAACACUAUUACAAGAACUUUCGAAGGGGUAAACUUGAUCUUGUAUUAAUUUUGCGGUGUUUGGAAGGAGUGUUCUUUAGGUAAAUCAAGUGCUGUUUAACUUAAAUUAUGUUUUAUGUGAGAUAAUGCUUGAAAUUACCAAGAAGGUGCUUUUGUAGAAAGUACAUUUACUCAAAACAAAUUAAAAGUGCUUCCGAAAAAAUCAAUUCCUUAUUCUACAUAUAUUUUCGGUGAGGUCAUGGGGGAUUUUGGUCUUCAACUGUUUUGUUAGCGCAAAUGGAGGCACGACUUCUUAUUCACUUGCUUGGAUCCUGCAAAUGAUAUCUGUCUUGGAGUUGCCCACAGAUGAAGAGAUGACUUUUGCUGUACAAAGUAUUAAUUCUACCUUAGGAAUAUGUUUAACUGCCGGACCAAGAGAUGAAAUGAUUGUGGAUAAGGCAUUAGAGAUAUUGUUUCAAGUCCCUGUUUUGAAGUACCUGGAUCUCUGCAUUCGAUGUUUUCAAUCUAAUAAACGAAUGAAAUUAUUUAGGUGGGAAUAUAAAGAAGAUGACUACGUGCUGUUCGGCAAAACAUUAAUUUCUCACUUCAAAAAUAGGGGUUUGGGUGCUAAGAAAAAAUCGAAAGCCAUUGUUGAAAACAGUAGUUCUGGCAAUAAAAGGUUUAAGAAGGGUGUAUAGCUCUGGACACCAUACCUGAGGACUUAGAUCCUUCAAAUAUUACAAGUCAAGAUCGUUGCAGUACCUCUUUGGCAGUAGAGUGGGCUUGUCAGAGAUUGCCACUUCCCAUGCAUUGGUUCCUCAGUCCAAUUUUGACCAUCAUUUCUGGCGAACAUGCUGGUCUUCAAAGUGCUUCUAUGGUAGACAACGUUGUGCAGGAACCUGAUGUGCUUUUAAUUACUAAAUUUGGACUUUUCUUUCUUUUGGGCAUUGAAGCUAUGUCCACCUUCUUAUCUCCUGAAGUCCCCUCCCCUGUUUGGGGUGUGGCUUUAUUUUGGAAAUUGCAUUCUUUAUCCAUGACAUUAGAUGCUGGACUGGGUGUGCUUGAAGAGGAGAAGAGUAGAGAUGUUUUUGAAGCCUUACAAGAGCACCAUGGGCAGUUGCUGGAUGAGUAAUGGGCUGGCAGAUUCCAUGAACUCAUUCCAGAGAUAAAUAUGAAUUUAUUACAGACAAGUGAGAAUUAUAAUGUAGAGCUUCUGAAGUUUCAGUCAGAGAUUCAUGAGAGUUACUCAACAUAUAUAGAAACUCUUGUAGAACACUUUGCUGCUGUAUCUUGUGGUGAUCUGCUAUAGGGCUGUCAACUUGGAGUGUAUUUACACCAUUGUGUUGAAGCUCCUGUGCGCCUUGCUGCCUGCAAUGCACUGUCAGGUGCUUGUGUUCUUGAACUUCUGCCACCUUUAGAGAAUUGUUUUGCUAAGGCUGAUGGUUACCUAGAACCUGCGGAGGAUAAAGAAGAAAUUUUGGAAGCAUAUAUGAAGUCAUGGACUUCUGAUGCCCUUGACAGAGCUGCAACUCGGAAGUCAAUGGCAUAGACACUGGUCCUGCACCACCUUUCAUCGUUCAUAGUCCUCUCGCAUGCCAGUGAUAAGUCAUUGCUAUGGAACAAGCUUGUAAAGUCUCUUCUGCGGGACUAAUCUCGCCAGAGGCAACAGGAGAGAAUAAUGUUUGAUCUUAUGCAAUAUAACAAACCAUCUCAAAUGCUCAAUCAAAAUGGAGAUUCACCACUGCAGCAGAGCAAUAUUGAUAAAAGAUUUGAGAUACUAACAGAAGCCUGCGAAGUAAACUCCUCUCUUCUGAUUCAGGUGGAGAAACUCAAGCCCAAUUUGACAGAUUAAAUUGUAUAUAACAGAGAAAGAAGAAAAAGGAUCGUUUUUUGUGGUGUAGGCAUUUUGCAAUCUAUUCAAUUAGGGGUUUAAUCAAAUUGAGCCGAAUGGUGCUGGGUUCAAGCUUGAAGACAUUAACAAUGCUCUUGCUCGAUAAAAAUCGAGCAGAACCCGGCUAAACACAGGCGGAACUGCAAGUGGCUCGGCUAGAUUACAUCCCUUUGUUCAACUAACCCCCUCUACCCCCUAGUGUUUUGCACUAUAAACAAGUUAAAUUGUUGUGAGAGAAAAAAAAUGUAAAUUCUUUUUAACAGGAAAGUAUUGAUUAUUGCCUUUAGAAUCAGAAUGUCAAUAUAUAGUCUGUUCCAGUUGCUUCAUAGCAGACCUUAUCAACGUUAUAAAUCCACCUUUCAUCUUUCGUA